CUUGAUUACUUGGUUUUUAAGUGGAUGUGUAGGGCAGUUGGACCAGUCGUCAUCAUCUAAGAACAAUUCUUAAGAUGAAGGCAAGCAAUUUGUGCUUAAUGUAAUAGAAAAAAGGGGAGUCAGUAGGAGGACUGGCAGGAUGAAAUAGGGGUAAUGUGCUUGAGGCAGUAAUCCAGAAAAAAUGAUUUUUGCAUUUUGAAUGGAUUUCAGGGGGGAAGAUUGCUUCUGUCACAGCCAGAAGGAAAGAGAUUAUCUUUCAUCUCAGCAAUAAUAAUGAGGGACUGGGUGAGUGUUUUGGUUUUACGAAUAGAACAGGAAGAGAAGGCACUGAAAUGCUAAAGCAGGCAGGAUUUUGAGCCAGUCCAAGGUGUAUGGAGGCAGGCGGAGGAGAAAGCCAAAGAUGACACUCUGGCAUCAUCAGAAAGAAAUGAUGAGAAAAGAUGAGAAGGGCAGCUGCAUGUUCCCUGCCAUUUCAGGGUUUGAGUCACAGAGAAACAUGAGGAAUUACACUUCUGAAAUAGGAGUGAAUGGGAUUGAAAGAAUUACGUGGAGGAUUCUGAACUCCCCUUCUUCCUGCUCCGGGAAAGAUGGAGGCCUGCUCUGAGACCACCUCUGGUUAUGAUCCACAUGUGCUACUGAAGCUGGCUAGAAUGGUGUGACAAAUGAGAUUUAGAUGGAUCACUCUUUACCAGAUGUCAAGGCCAAUACUGCUCUACAGCCCCUGCUCUCAGCCACAUUGUCAGUGUCCUUGUGGCAGGGUGUCUUGGAAGAACUGUGCAGAUCAACCUUCACACUACCUCUUCACUUCAGGCUCUCUGUGCUGCAUAAAGCUGCACCGUUCGGAAGAAGCAAGACAGUCUUUCCUCACAGCUAUGAUGCUGCACCGCUUUCAACAGAACCUGCUUUUCCCUCCAUUUACCUGGGCGACUGCUGCUCUUUCUGCUGCUGCUGGGGCUGCUGCAGUCUUGCUGCCUGCGCUUCACCCUGGCUUGGCUGACUCGAAACUCUCUCAUCUGCACAUUGCUAAGGAAGAAGAGCGAUGGAGCCAUGGAUUUUUAUUUUUUUAUUGGUUCUGGAAGCCAAGGGUUGCAAUAUGUGAUGAUUUCGGGGCUUUCUGUGGCGGGCUGGAGGGAGGAGAAAGGAAGGGUGUUAAUCUAGGAUAA
rnacentral:lncRNA from 1 species